CGGGGUGCAGCAGGCGCGAAAACUUUACAAUGCCGGCAACGGCGAUAAGGGAACCUCGAGUGCCAGGUUACAAAUCUGGCUGUCGUGAUGCCUAAAAAGCAUUGCAUAGCAAGGGCCGGGCAAGACCGGUGCCAGCCGCCGCGGUAACACCGGCGGCUCGAGUGGUAACCGUUAUUAUUGGGUCUAAAGGGUCUGUAGCCGGCCGGGUAAGUCUCUUGGGAAAUCUGGCAGCUUAACUGUCAGGCUUUCAGGAGAUACUGCCUGGCUCGAGGCCGGGAGAGGUGAGAGGUACUUCAGGGGUAGGGGUGAAAUCUUGUAAUCCUUGAAGGACCACCAGUGGCGAAGGCGUCUCACCAGAACGGACCUGACGGCAAGGGACGAAAGCUAGGGGCACGAACCGGAUUAGAUACCCGGGUAGUCCUAGCCGUAAACGAUACCCGCUAGGUGUCGGCCACGGUGCGACCGUGGUCGGUGCCGUAGGGAAGCCGUGAAGCGAGCCACCUGGGAAGUACGGCCGCAAGGCUGAAACUUAAAGGAAUUGGCGGGGGAGCAC
rnacentral:rRNA from 1 species